AAACAGGUAUAGCAUUAUUGCAAGAUUUAUAUAUUGCCAACCCAGCCAUUAGAUUAUAUUCCUAACACCCCUGCCUUAUACUGUUGCAGGCAAGUGAUGGUCCAAUCUCGUUUUAAAAACCUCCCGUGAGGGAGCCCCCACAACUUCAGAAGAGUCUCCACAUCUUUUCUACAUUGUGUUGACCAAAAGUGAAGUGUGGCCUUACCAAGGCAUUAUAAUCAGUGGAUGAUUUGGACCAGUUUGACUGAACCAGUAGUGGUUUGACGGCCUGGGUCGCUGGAACUGGCAGUAACCCAGGCCGGCCACGCCCCCGAACCAGUUAUCCCGGCGAUGCCGUAGGCACCAGCAUCUUGUUUUUUGCUUCUGUGCAUGUGCAGAACAAUUUUUAUUGCACAUGGCAUGCCCAUGAGCGAACCUUCAGUAGCGACUGUCGGAACCCACCCCUGAUUAUAAAGUGGUAUUAACCCUUCA